UGUGAAUUGCAGAAUCCCGUGAACCAUCGAGUCUUUGAACGCAAGUUGCGCCCCAAGCCAUUAGGCCGAGGGCACGUCUGCCUGGGUGUCACGCAUCGUUGCCCACAUCCAACCACGACACAUACGGCGUCGGUUGAGGCAUGGGCGUAGACUGGCCUCCCGAGUGCUAAUCGCACACGGUUGGUUUAAAAUCGAGUCCGCACGUCCAAUGUGCCGCGACCAUCGGUGGUAAUGCUUUCAGCGACCUAUUUUUGAGUCGUUGGCACGGUCGUUGAUCCGGACCCCUUGACCCUGUAGGCACCCCACGUUUGGUGCUCGUAUCGCGACCCCAGGUCAGGCGGGACGACCCGCUGAAUUUAAGCAUAUAAAUAAGCGGAGGAAAAGAAACUUACCAGGAUUCCCUUAGUAACGGCGAGCGAACCGGGAAGAGCCCAGCUUGAGAAUCGGUCGCCCCCGG
rnacentral:rRNA from 1 species